CCUACGGGAGGCUGCAGUGAGGAAUAUUGGUCAAUGGACGAGAGUCUGAACCAGCCAAGUAGCGUGAAGGAUGACUGCCCUAUGGGUUGUAAACUUCUUUUAUAAAUGAAUAAAACGAGGCACGUGUGCCUUUUGGCAUGUACUUUAUGAAUAAGGAUCGGCUAACUCCGUGCCAGCAGCCGCGGUAAUACGGAGGGUGCGAGCGUUAAUCGGAAUUACUGGGCGUAAAGCGCUCGUAGGCGGUAUGUCAAGUCAAGGGUGAAAUCCCCGCGCUCAACGUGGGAACUGCCUUUGAAACUGGCAAACUGGAUUGUGUGAGAGGAUAGUGGAAUUCCAGGUGUAGGAGUGAAAUCCGUAGAUAUCUGGAGGAACAUCAGUGGCGAAGGCGACUAUCUGGCACAUAACUGACGCUGAGGAGCGAAAGCGUGGGUAGCAAACAGGAUUAGAUACCCUGGUAGUC
rnacentral:rRNA from 1 species